AUUGAACGCUGGCGGCAGGCCUAACACAUGCAAGUCGAACGAGUGGCGGACGGGUGAGUAGUGUCUGGGACACUGCCUGAUGGAGGGGGAUAACUACUGGAAACGGUCUCUAAUACCACAUACCAUCAGAUGUGCCCAGAUGGGAUUAGCUUGUUGGUGGGGUAAGGGCUCACCAAGGCGACGAUCCCUAGCUGGUCUGAGAGGAUGAUCAGCCACACUGGAACUGAGACACGGUCCAGACUCCUACGGGAGGCAGCAGUGGGGAAUAUUGCACAAUGGGCGCAAGCCUGAUGCAGCCAUGCCGCGUGUAUGAAGAAGGCCUUAGGGUUGUAAAGUACUUUCAGUCGGGAGGCGUUACCCGCAGAAGAAGCACCGGCUAACUCCGUGCCAGCAGCCGCGGUAAUAC
rnacentral:rRNA from 1 species